rnacentral:lncRNA from 1 species
AUUUCUUGCCUCCUCUUCUCUCCUUUUCUCUCUAUCUUUUAGAUCAUCAACUACUUCUCCUUUUUGUUGAGGUCAUUAAUAUUCUCCACCUUCAUCAUCUUCUCCUACAUAUUAUCAGUCUCCAUAUCUUUAUUCACCAUUUUAUUUUUAUCAACACUAAACAUCUCAGUAUAGCUAUUUAUCUUGUGUUAUUCAUCUUAGAUAAUGUAAAAUCUUUUGUAAUCUUUAAUUUAUAUAAUGGAUUGAUGAUGAUUUGCUCCUAUAAAUGUAGGCCUAAAGUCAAACCAUGUAAAUAUUGUGUGUUCUUUGUAUUUAUGUUUAUUUUGCUAUAUUAUUAAUUUG